GGGUGAGUAAUAUAUAGGUAAUAUGCCUCUUACUAAGGGAUAACAGAUGGAAACGUCUGCUAAUACCUUAUAUGCCUUUUGAGCAAAAGUUCGUAAAGGGAAAGAUUUAUUGGUAAGAGAUUGGCUUGUACGGUAUCAGUUAGUUGGUGAGGUAAUGGCUCACCAAGACAAUGACACCUAACUGGUUUGAGAGGAUGAUCAGUCACACUGGAACUGAGACACGGUCCAGACUCCUACGGGAGGCAGCAGUGGGGAAUAUUGCACAAUGGACGGAAGUCUGAUGCAGCAACGCCGCGUGGAGGAUGACACAUUUCGGUGCGUAAACUCCUUUUAUACAAGAAGAUAAUGAUGGUAUUGUAUGAAUAAGCGCCGGCUAACUCCGUGCCAGCAGCCGCGGUAAUACGGGGGGCGCAAGCGUUACUCGGAAUCACUGGGCGUAAAGAGCGUGUAGGCGGAUUGAUAAGUUCGAAGUGAAAUCCAAUAGCUUAACUAUUGAACUGCUUUGAAAACUGUUGAUCUAGAGUGUGGGAGAGGUAGAUGGAAUUUCUGGUGUAGGGGUAAAAUCCGUAGAUAUCAGAAGGAAUACCGAUUGCGAAGGCGAUCUACUGGAACACAACUGACGCUGAGACGCGAAAGCGUGGGUAGCAAACGGGAUUAGAUACCCCGGUAGUCCACGCCCUAAACGAUGUACACUAGUUGUUGCCUUGCUAGACAAGGCAGUAAUGCACCUAACGGAUUAAGUGUACCGCCUGGGGAGUACGGUCGCAAGAUUAAAACUCAAAGGAA
rnacentral:rRNA from 1 species